UAUCAUGUACUCAACAUAUCACUGAAAUCAUUAAUAUGAAUUUCACUGAAACCAUUAAUAAUAGUCACUCUAAAAAACUAACCAAUCAAAUAUCUUGGGCUCAAAUUUAGAAAGGUAGCAGUUCGUAAAAACAUUUGAGCAUAAUUGCCAAUUUAAUAUGUAUAGAAAAACUCUUAUAGAAUUUCAAGAAUAUGGAAUUAUCACAAUUUAUGAGAUGUCAAUUCACAAAUAAAUAUUUCACAGACAAUGCUAUAAUCAAUUACAAGAAUAUCAGUUUUCAGAUAAUAAGGCAGUCAUUUACACAUGAAAUUUACAAUGUCUAAAUAUUCAAAAAUACUAGAAAGAAAUCUCACAAAUUUACUAAAAGCAGAAAUAUCCCAUUUAUUUCUAAUAAUUUAACAGUAUCUAAAAUUUUCUAACAAUAGACAAGAAAAAUAAAUAAAUUUAUUUUUAAGAAUUUACAGCCUUUGGAAUUUCUAACAUAGAUAAAUAUCACAAUUUUAUUAAAAAGAUUAUUUUUCAAAAUAAUGAGGUAGCUUGCGCAUAAAAUUUAUCGCACCUAAAAUUCAUGAUAAUAAGCAGAAAUAAUUAUUUCAUUUCAUUUUUUAAAAAGAACGGAUUAUUUUUCAAUAUAAUGAAGUCACUUACCUAAAAUAUUUGAAAGGGAGCUUCCGAUAAAAAUUCGGCUAAAGAGAGAUCUCAAAAUUUUCUAGGGUAGGAGUCCUCGCCUCUCAUAUUUAAACUCUUAUGACGCCUUAUUAUAAUAUUUUAUUAAGUUACACCUCAUACACGAGGUGUAACCAUUAUAUUACCUCUGGUACGCUUAAAGCCCACAUCCACUGGACGUGGCAAGGCAGCAACAAACAAAACAAAUUCAAACCAAAAGCUUUUAAAACUAGUGAUGGUCCCUAAAGACCAUUAUGCUCAUAUGAAUCAUCACUUAUUAAAAGUUUGCCUUUUUUUUUUUUUUUGGAAUUUUAGAAUUAUUACAGAGGUAGCCCUGAAAUUAGCUUCAGUUGGAAGCUUUUCAACCAAUAGGGGUUUGGAAUUGAUCGGGAAAGUAUUACGGUAAUAAGAAUACCAUAAAGAAUUCCCCACACAUUACUGUAAUUAAAUUACCGUAAUAAUAAUUCAAACUAUUAUCGUAUUUAAAUUACCGUAAUACCCUUUGAAUUUUUUACGGUGUUUUAAUUACCGUAAAGCAUAAAAUGUAUUACGGUAAAAAGACUACUGUGAAGGUUUUUGGCCCAAAAAAGCCGAAAUUUGUGAGAAAUGGUGCAGGCGAGGUUUUUAAAAGUUAGGGUUUUUUUUUCAAUUUUACUAAAAUAAAGGUACAAUAGCGAUAAUUUCUUUUUAAUUUAAUAGAUAACUUAACUAUUAUGCAAUAGCAAAUUUAAAAUUUUUAUAAAAGUAAAAUGUCAUUUUGGAAGUUAGUGUCCUCGAACUUUAUUUGUAGAGUGACAUUGUCUUUUAGUAAAAAAUCCAACUUUACCCUUAUGGAGAUGACAAAAAUACAUUUUGUCUUGUAGUGAUAUUGACAAAUU
rnacentral:lncRNA from 1 species